CGGCGCGGAGGCCUGGAGGCUGGCAGGCCCCUCGAGCCUGCGUCUCAGCCUCCCUGGCUCCAGGCGGGACCCCUCGUACCACCUUUUGCUUCUGGCUGCUUGCCUGGCUCUGGCUCCAUAAUGAACCUCCAGUUUAUCCUCCGGAGGGUGGAGGGCUCUGCUUUUCAUUUUGGCCUCCCUUAUGGGACUACUCCUUACUUACUCAUUUCUUCUUCCCAGAGCCUUCCAUAGACUUGGCAUCCACUCACGCCUUAAUUCAUUUAGACUCUUUCCCAAAGUGUAGUCUUUGGCACUACCGCCGCUGCAAAGGGAUUUUAGGUGGUACCAACGACCUGCUUUACGUCACCGCGGCUGCUGUAAGGAGGCUCGGCCGUAGAGGAGACCAAGCACAGACAGAGGGAGUUACUUAUGGAGGUCACGCUGGUUAAGCAGCACAGCGUCACUGUCUUGCACCACGUUGGUUACAGUGCAGCUGGUUGUGUGGGCCGUUUGGUCAUCUGAGCUGGACUCUGGAACAAGCUCUGCAACACUUACUCCUGUAUUCAUGGAUGGCUGCGGGCUGUAGGCGGUUGUGCUGGUCUUGUCAGGGCCCUCUCAUGUGCCUGGGGCCUUAGAUGCUGUUUCUUCUGUCCGGAAUGCUGUCAAGUCAAAUGUCACCACCCCAGAGAAGCCUUCCCUGACCGCCUGUCUGGAGCAGCCCUCCCACUCACUCUGGGUCCAGCAGUCUUUUUUAACUGCAUCGCCACUAUGCACAACUAUCUCUUUAGAUAUCUGUAUUUUUAAAAAAAAUUUUUAAUUAAGUUUACUGGUACAUUUCAGGUAUACAAUAUAAUGACAUUCAUUAUUGGUAAUUUGUACCUUUACAUGAUGUGUCUUGGUUCUUGUUCUUUCCCCAUUUCCCUG